CCACGUUUGACGCAUGCAUGCCCUUUUCUCCAAAUGCUGUGAGAGGUUCUCUAUAAAAUGGCCUGAUGCCUGGCCAAAUCCCUCAUCUCCGAUCCUCCAUUACUAGCUUACAGCUGAGUGCGAAGUGGUCGGUGUAGAAGAUGAGGAGCGGCGGCCUUGUGGUGACCUUCCUGGCCUUGGUGUUUCUUGUCAGCCUCUCCACUGCCCGUGUAGACCCUCACCUCCUCCUCCUCCUCCCCAGCCAAGGAAACGGAGAGGGAUUAGCGGGAGAGAAGCCAUGGGCGUGCUGCGACAUGUGCCUCUGUACGAGGUCGUUCCCGCCGCAGUGCCGGUGCACCGACGAGUUGAUCGGAGGCUGCCACCCCAACUGCAAGAACUGCCACUGCACCAGGUCGUUCCCGCCCAAAUGCUACUGCCGCGACAUCAUCUACGAGGACUGCGGCGACCGCUGCCACCCGUAGCAGUAUAUGGCUCUUGCGCCGCCCUCGCCGCCGCUGCUUGCCGAUGCAUGGAUUUGCUGGAAUAAGAGCGGAAACUGUUUGUAGUAUCUUCUCUCAGCCUGAUAUCGCUGGUCAUGACCAUCGCUGUAAGCGUUAUCUGGCUGCUGAAUCAUCCUCGCAAGCCAGUGGUUUGGUGUUCUUAAGUGCUUUGGCUCGUUCUUGGUUGCA